rnacentral:tRNA from 1 species
AGGGGCGUAGUUUAAUGGUAGAAUAGAGCUCUCCAAAAGCUUUGAUGAAGGUCCGAUUCCUUCCGCCCCUG